rnacentral:lncRNA from 1 species
UCAAGAAAUAUGCAGAGAAAGAAGAAGAAAAGAGAGAAAAGAAAGAAAGCUGAGUAAAAGAAGAGACUAGUGGUACUUUUGGCUGGUGAAAAUGACUGAAAUGUCUCCAAUUUCUUUGGCUUCUCCUGAAAGGAAGCUUCUUUACUCUUUACAGAGUACGAAAAGAGUUCCUUAAUUAUCUGUGACGAACAUAUGACACAGUUGCUUGCUUGUGAAUGUGGAUGAUCAGUUGAG